rnacentral:rRNA from 1 species
AUACGGGGGGAGCAAGCGUUGUCCGGAAUCAUUGGGCGUAAAGGGCACGUAGGCGGUUUCUUAAGUCGAAUGUGAAAUCUCACGGCUCAACCGUGAAACUGCGUUCGAAACUAAGUGACUUGAGUUUGGGAGAGGUGUACGGAAUUCCUGGUGUAGCGGUGGAAUGCGUAGAUAUCAGGAAGAACACCAAUGGCGAAGGCAGUACACUGGCCUGAAACUGACGCUGAGGUGCGAAAGCGUGGGGAGCAAACAGGAUUAGAAACCCGGGUAGUCC